ACCAGACUCCUACGGGAGGCAGCAGUGGGGGAUAUUGCACAAUGGGGGGAACCCUGAUGCAGCGACGCCGCGUGGGUGAAGAAGCGCCUCGGCGCGUAAAGCCCUGUCAGCAGGGAAGAAAAUGACGGUACCUGAAGAAGAAGCCCCGGCUAACUACGUGCCAGCAGCCGCGGUAAUACGUAGGGGGCAAGCGUUAUCCGGAUUUACUGGGUGUAAAGGGGGCGCAGACGGCGAUGCAAGCCAGGAGUGAAAGCCCGGGGCCCAACCCCGGGACUGCUCUUGGAACUGCGUGGCUGGAGUGCAGGAGGGGCAGGCGGAAUUCCUGGUGUAGCGGUGAAAUGCGUAGAUAUCAGGAGGAACACCGGUGGCGAAGGCGGCCUGCUGGACCGUGACUGACGUUGAGGCUCGAGAGCGUGGGGAGCAAACAGGAUUAGAUACCCUAGUA
rnacentral:rRNA from 1 species